rnacentral:lncRNA from 1 species
UUUCAAUACCUGUUUGUUGCAUCUCCAAAUUACAACUUUUCACCGCCCAAUAAGUACGGUGUUCUAUCUCAACAAGAAGAUGACAUGCCUUACCAAAAACAAGUCGAUAAGAAGACAUCCCAAUGGGUAUCUUGAAAGUUGUUCUUUGGGCCCAAAGUGCAUCUUCUAGACGACGGCUCCAGUCCUUCCUGUUUGGCUGCACCAUUUUCUCUAAAACCUGUUUGAUCUCCCGGUUUGAGAUCU